GUGAGCCUGAGGGGAGAAACCUUGACUCUCCAGUUGACCACUGUGUCUCUCGACACACGGCAUAUGGUGAAACGGUGUGAUGAGAGGCAUGGAAGGCCAUUACCUCAUUCACAGGAAUCUCAGCAUGGCUCUGCAACUUCAAAGAAGGCAGUUCGGGGAACAGCAGACACAGCUCCUUUGGAAAGAAUAUCUGCCGCCCGAGGAUGGGCUCUGCCUAUGGAGGCAACAGUGAGUGUCUUCAGAGCCCAUCAGUGGCAGUGGAAUUAA
ensembl:lncRNA LINC02906 long intergenic non-protein coding RNA 2906